rnacentral:rRNA from 1 species
UGAGUACAGUAGAGGUGGGCGGAAUUCGUGGUGUAGCGGUGAAAUGCUUAGAUAUCACGAAGAACUCCGAUUGCGAAGGCAGCUCACUGGACUGCAACUGACACUGAUGCUCGAAAGUGUGGGUAUCAAACAGGAUUAGAUACCCUGGUAGUCCACACAGUAAACGAUGAUUACUAGGUGUGGGGAGAUUGACCCUCUCCGUGCCGCAGUUAACACAAUAAGUAAUCCACCUGGGGAGUACGACCGCAAGGUUGAAACUCAAGGGAAUUGACGGGGGCCCGCACAAGCAGUGGAGUAUGUGGUUUAAUUCGAAGCAACGCGAAGAACCUUACCAGGUCUUGACAUCCAACGACCGCUUAAGAGAUUAAGCUUUCCUUCGGGACGUUGAGACAGGUGGUGCAUGGUUGUCGUCAGCUCGUGUCGUGAGAUGUUGGGUUAAGUCCCGCAACGAGCGCAACCCUUAUCGUCAGUUACUACGCAAGAGGACUCUGGCGAGACUGCCGUUGACAAAACGGAGGAAGGUGGGGAUGACGUCAAAUCAUCAUGCCCUUUAUGACCUGGGCUACACACGUACUACAAUGGCUGUAAACAGAGAGAAGCGAAGCCGCGAGGCAGAGCAAACCUCAUAAACACAGUCUCAGUUCGGAUUGCAGGCUGCAACCCGCCUGCAUGAAGCCGGAAUUGCUAGUAAUCGCGGAUCAGCAUGCCGCGGUGAAUACGUUCCCGGGCCUUGUACACACCGCCCGUCACACCAUGAGAGCCGGGGGGACCCGAAGUCGGUAGUCUAACCGCAAGGAGGACGCCGCCGAAGGUAAAACUGGUGAUUGGGGUGAAGUCGUAACAAGGUAACC